GCUGCAUGUGUGCAGGCGGAGGCGGUAGUAUGGAUGGUGUAGGCGUGAAGGGGAGUUGCUGGGCGUAAAGAGUGCGUAUGCGUUUCGUUAUGUUUGUUGUGUGUGCCCGGGGCGUAACCUGGGAACUGCAGUCGAUACUGGUGAACUAGAGGGCGGUAGAGGGUGGCGGAACUCCGGGUGUAGCGGUGAAAUGCGUAGAUAUCCGGAAGAACACCGAUGGCGAAGGCAACCACCUGGGCCUGCACUGACGCUGAGGUACGAAAGCGUGGGGAGCAAACAGGAUUAGAUACCCCUGUAGUC
rnacentral:rRNA from 1 species